rnacentral:lncRNA from 1 species
GACUUUUAUACAACCUGUUAGUAUAUUGUACACACCAAACAAAACUUUUAGAGUAGAUAAUGUCACAGAUAUCCAUCUUUGGUAUUGUAGGCUCGAUCAUAUAAACAAGAAUAAGAUAAAUAGGAGAUAAUUCUCGAAGUCAAUGAUUGUAAAUCAUUGUCAACCUAUCAAUCUUAUUUUCUUAGUAACAUGACCAAGUCACCUUUUGCUGGAAA